rfam:Emmonsia pasteuriana TAMH 9510 supercont1.18, whole genome shotgun sequence.
GGUUUCAUGGUCUAGUGGUUAUGACACCGGAUUUUGACGUUCACAUAUCAAAACUUCCGGUAACCUGGGUUCGAAUCCCAGUGAGACCU